rnacentral:rRNA from 1 species
CGCACAAGCGGUGGAGCAUGUGGUUUAAUUCGAUGCAACGCGAAGAACCUUACCUGGGCUUGACAUCCCGGGAAUCUCCCGGAAACGGGAGAGUGCCCUUCGGGGAACCCGGUGACAGGUGCUGCAUGGCUGUCGUCAGCUCGUGUCGUGAGAUGUUGGGUUAAGUCCCGCAACGAGCGCAACCCUUGUCUUUAAUUGCCAUCAUUAAGCUGGGCACUUUAAAGAGACUGCCGGUGUCAAACCGGAGGAAGGUGGGGAUGACGUCAAGUCAGCAUGGCCUUUAUGUCCAGGGCUACACACGUGCUACAAUGGGUGGCACAAAGAGCGGCGACCAUGCGAGUGGAAGCAAAUCUCAAAAAACCACCCUCAGUUCGGAUUGGAGUCUGCAACUCGACUCCAUGAAGUUGGAAUCGCUAGUAAUCGCGGAUCAGCACGCCGCGGUGAAUACGUUCCCGGGCCUUGUACACACCGCCCGUCACACCCGGAAAGUUGACUGCACCAGAAGUCGUUGGGCUAACCCGUAAGGGAGGCAGGCGCCGACGGUGUGGUUGGCGAUUGGGGUGAAGUCGUAACAAGGUAACCAAGGGCGAA